rnacentral:rRNA from 1 species
UACGGAGGGUGCAAGCGUUAUCCGGAUUUACUGGGUUUAAAGGGUGCGUAGGUGGGUUGGUAAGUCAGUGGUGAAAUACUUUCGCUUAACGAAGGAACUGCCAUUGAUACUACCAGUCUUGAAUACAGUGGAGGUAGGCGGAAUGCGUCAUGUAGCGGUGAAAUGCUUAGAUAUGACGCAGAACACCAAUUGCGAAGGCAGCUUGCCAAACUUGUAUUGACACUGAGGCACGAAAGCGUGGGGAUCAAACAGG